rnacentral:rRNA from 1 species
AUUGAACGCUGGCGGCAGGCCUAACACAUGCAAGUCGAACGAGUGGCGGACGGGCGAGUAAUGUCUGGGAAACUGCCUGAUGGAGGGGGAUAACUACUGGAAACGGUAGCUAAUACCGCAUACCAUCAGAUGUGCUCAGGUGGGUUUAGACAUGCGGUGGGGUAACGGCUAAUCAAGGCGACGAUCCCUAGCUGGUCUGAGAGGAUGACCAGCCACACUGGGACUGAGACACGGUCCAGACUCCGACGGGAGGCAGCAGUGGGGAAUAUUGCACAAUGGGCGCAAGCCUGAUGCAGCCAUGCCGCGUGUAUGAAGAAGGCCUUCGGGUUGUAAAGUACUUUCAGCGGGGAGGCGUUACCCGCAGAGGAAGCACCGGCUAACUCCGUGCCAGCAGCCGCGGUAAUAC